rnacentral:rRNA from 1 species
UACAGGGGGUGCAAACGUUGCUCGGAAUUAUUGGGCGUAAAGCGCACGUAGGCGGUUUGUUAUGUCGGAUGUGAAAGCCCUUGGCUCAACUGAGGAAGUGCAUCCGAAACUGGCAAGCUAGAGUAUGUAAGAGGGUCGCGGAAUUCCCGGUGUUGAGGUGAAAUUCGUAGAUAUCGGGAGGAACACCGGUGGCGAAGGCGGCGACCUGGGACAAUACUGACGCUGAGGUGCGAAAGCGUGGGGAGCAAACAGG